GACCUCCUAGGAUCUGAAGGCUCACGCAAGGUGUAGUUGCCUCUUGUACUGUUCCGACCCUGACUAGGAAACUAGGACUCCUUGACCUUUUUACGCCAGCUAACUUGAACUUAAGGAAAAAGUGGAGUUGUGUUUACCCUCUUUACAGUCGAGCGAUAUGGUUAAUAAGAGUAGAGGCGACGUUUCAAAAUACUCAAUCUGUUUAGCCCCGAUACUAUAGAUGAUGUAAAUGAAUAGUAACCAAACUCCAGUAAACAAUGCUAAUUCAGCUUGAGGAGUUUUUUCCUAUGCUUGGAAGCUUGCUACAUGCACACUUCUUUUCAGAACUUGUUUUCCCUCAACAAUACGAAAAUGACUAUAAACUAU